UACGUAGGGUGCAAGCGUUAAUCGGAAUUACUGGGCGUAAGCGCACGUAGGCGGCUUUGUCAGUUAGAGGUGAAAGCCCGGGGCUCAACUCCGGAAUUGCCUUUAAGACUGCAUCGCUAGAAUUGUGGAGAGGUAAGUGGAAUUCCGAGUGUAGAGGUGAAAUUCGUAGAUAUUCGGAAGAACACCAGUGGCGAAGGCGACUUACUGGACACAUAUUGACGCUGAGGUGCGAAAGCGUGGGGAGCAAACAGG
rnacentral:rRNA from 1 species